UCCUCAUGUCAUCUGUGUCUUAACUGCUGAGCCAUCUCUCCAGACCAGCACUGAGUUUCUUCAUCAGGCUCUUCCAAGCAUCUGCUCUAGGCACGGAGAAUAAAGAACUAGCUCCCUGCCUCUAGUUCUGGAUGUUAGCUCCAGUUCCAAGACAGCCAACUGAAGGAAGGAUCCUAAGUAUUGCAACUCGAGUGAGGUCUGGGCACGAUGUCAUGGACCUCGAAUCCCAGUACUAGGAAGGUGAAGGUAGGAAGAUCAUGACUAUGAGGCCAACCUAGGCUACAUAGAGAGUUCCAGACUAACCUGAUCUAUAUAGUGAAACCCUGUCUCAUAGAAUGAAACAACAUGAAACUGGACAUAGCAAUUAAGAACACUUGUUGCUCUUCCAGAGGACCUGGGGUCAAUGCCCAGCACUCAUGGUAACUUGCAACCACCUGUAACUCCAGUUCAGAGCAUCUGACACCCUCUUCUGACCUCCAACACAGGCAUGCACAUGGUGCACAUACAGACAGACAAAACAUCCAUUCACAUAAAAUUUUUUUUUUUUUUUGGUUUUUCGAGACAGGGUUUCUCUGUAUAGUCCUGGCUGUCCUGGAACUCACUCUGUAGACCAAGCUGGCCUCUAAUUCAGAAAUCUGCCUGCUUCUGCCUCCCGAGUGCUGGGAUUAAAGGGGUGCGCCACCACCACCUGGCAAAAAUAAAUCUUUAAAAAAUGUAAAAAUAAACAAGAGCCCCAAGAGCCAGAUGUAGGAAGUGGAAGCUGGCACAAGGAAGUGCCCAGCUGGGCAUGGGUUAGAACUGUGACCAACAAGAAUAACAAGACAGAGGCAGCUUUAGCCAACCUACUGGGACAGCAGCAGUCAUGGAGGUGCCAGGCUUCAUUCUGACCAGCUUGGUGACAUACCAGUGUCUGUGUUUAUCUGGUGGAUAGGUGUCUGAGACUCCUUACCAUUCUUUCUUGGCAAUUUUUGAUUGAAUGCACUAGGAUUCUCAGGCUAGCCCUUAAUGCAGUGUGCUUAUUACAGCUGUGGAACAUGUGUGCACAGACCCAGGAGAGCAUAGGGAGAUACGAGCCAUUGUGACAGUCUGGUGCACGACAAGAUGUCAGCCUCACCUUCCAUUUAAACAGUUGGUGAGAGACUUUCAUAGUAUGUAACUGAGUCGGGGCUCGCCUCAUUUUAACUGGAAGAAGCCGCCAGAGCACUGUAUAGAAUCCUUCUCAACGAUAUGGGAAUGCAAGGUGCAAAGGAAUUCUUGCUGCCGACUGUGGGAUGUGGAUUAGCUUACAGAGUGCUUGCCUGGCAUGCAAGAAGCCCUGGGUUUAAUUCCCAUACUAAAUAAGCUGAUGAUAGUGGUGCAUACCUAUUAUCCUAGCACUCAGUAGGCAGAGGCAGGAAAAUGAGAAGUUCAAGAUUGCCUUUGAUUACAUAGUAAAUUCAAGGAAGUCUGGGCCACAUGAGACCUUACCUUUAAAAGAUAUAAGUAAAACAUGAGUUGGAAGCCAACCUGGACUAAAUAGUGAUCACCAGGUCAACUAGAGUCACGCAACAAGACCCUGUCUCAAACAGACUAACAAGAAACUAAAAUGGCUGAUGAGGUAGCUUAGUGGGUAAAGGUGUGUGCUGCCAAGUCUGACAACCUGAGUUUGAUCCCAGAAGCCGCACAGGGAAGGAGAGACAACUCUCGACUCUGGAACGUUUUCCUUUCCUUCAGAUUAAUGCCAUGGUGUGUCCACAAAUGUAUAUGCAAAUACGCAUUAAGUGUAAAUAAACAAAACCCUGAAAGC
rnacentral:lncRNA from 1 species